rnacentral:rRNA from 1 species
GUGAGGAAUAUUGGUCAAUGGGCGGGAGCCUGAACCAGCCAAGUCGCGUGAAGGAAGAAGGAUCUAUGGUUCGUAAACUUCUUUUGCAGGGGAAUAAAGUGCGGGACGUGUCCUGUUUUGUAUGUACCCUGAGAAUAAGGAUCGGCUAACUCCGUGCCAGCAGCCGCGGUAAUACGGAGGAUCCGAGCGUUAUCCGGAUUUAUUGGGUUUAACGGGUGCGUAGGUGGUUUGAUAAGUCAGCGGUGAAAGUUUGCAGCUUAACUGUAAAAAUGCCGUUGAAACUGUCGGACUUGAGUGUAAAUGAGGUAGGCGGAAUGCGUGGUGUAGCGGUGAAAUGCAUAGAUAUCACGCAGAACUCCGAUUGCGAAGGCAGCUUACUAAGCUACAACUGACACUGAAGCACGAAAGCGUGGGGAUCAAACAGGAUUAGAAACCCCGGUAGUCC